rnacentral:rRNA from 1 species
GACGAACGCUGGCGGCGUGCUUAACACAUGCAAGUCGAGCGGAAAGGCCCUGCUUUUGUGGGGUGCUCGAGUGGCGAACGGGUGAGUAACACGUGAGUAACCUGCCCUUGACUUUGGGAUAACUUCAGGAAACUGGGGCUAAUACCGGAUAGGAGCUCCUGCUGCAUGGUGGGGGUUGGAAAGUUUCGGCAGUUGGGGAUGGACUCGCGGCUUAUCAGCUUGUUGGUGGGGUAGUGGCUUACCAAGGCUUUGACGGGUAGCCGGCCUGAGAGGGUGACCGGCCACAUUGGGACUGAGAUACGGCCCAGACUCCUACGGGAGGCAGCAGUGGGGAAUAUUGCACAAUGGGCGGAAGCCUGAUGCAGCAACGCCGCGUGCGGGAUGACGGCCUUCGGGUUGUAAACCGCUUUCGCCUGUGACGAAGCGUGAGUGACGGUAAUGGGUAAAGAAGCACCGGCUAACUACGUG